rnacentral:rRNA from 1 species
CUGCAGCUCAAGUGGUGACCGUUAUUAUUGGGCCUAAAACGUCCGUAGCCGGUUUAGUAAAUGCCUGGGUAAAUCGUGUAGCUUAACUAUACGAAUUCCGGGUAGACUGCUAAACUUGGGACCGGGAGAGGCUAGAGGUACUCCUGGGGUAGAGGUGAAAUUCUGUAAUCCUGGGGGGACCACCAGUGGCGAAGGCGUCUAGCUAGAACGGGUCUGACGGUGAGGGACGAAGCCCUGGGGCGCAAACCGGAUUAGAUACCCGAGUAGUCC